rnacentral:rRNA from 1 species
AGUUCGUGGACUAAUCUGUCUGGUUAAUUCCGUUAACGAACGAGACCUUAACUCGCUAGUUAGGCAAGGCAUUGUAUGCUGUAUCCUACUAGAAGGACUAUGUGUGUCCAACACAAGGAAGUGUGCGGCAAUAACAGGU